UUGGAUACUUACGGAGUCCACUGUUUAGCCUUCUCCUGGGCUAUAAUUCUUCCCUAGGAAGUGCAUACUUGAGUAGCUGGAAAAAUCUUAGUACUGACAUUUCCUCUAGCCAAAUGCAAGGAACUCCAUGUUUUGUUUUUUUUAACAUCCAAAGGCUCUCACACAUGUAACUUUGCCUUUUAAGACCAACAAGCCUGCCUAGCAGCAAACCCCAACCUAGGGAAGAGGCUGUCAGAGGUCUUAUUCAUGGAGGUGGCCUGGACCAGAACUGGUAAAGAGGUGGACGAUGCUGAUAACUCUACAGGUAUCCACAGAACCCUUAUUUCUCCAGUGGAACAAGGAAGGAAAAUAGGCCAACAUUUUCCUCUCUGCUAGAGUAUAUGCCAUGUGACUAUUUUUGGCUUUCAAAGACACUUUGUGUGACCAGGAUACUUUGUCAUUCUGGUUCUGACAAGCAAGACAUGAGUUGUCUUAAUACAUUUUACCUCUGGAAGUACCUACAGUUUGUUUGGACACAUGGUACCUCUCUGAGGAUCUUUCAGUUUGUGCUUCUUCCACAGCCCCAGGGUAGCCUUAGAUAUUUCUGGGGAACUGGAUGCUAGAACUGACUGGGUGUUCCUGUGGCCCCUACUUGGAGACAUCAGUGAUGGCUGACUGCUUUCCAAGUCUACACUCAAAGAGACAGAUGGAUUCUCCUUCGAGGAAGAUACCUCACCCAGCUUCUUAUUUUGCGUAGAGCCUGCUGGAUCUAACUUGUGGAAUAUGGCAUGAAUUGUAUGGGAGGCUUUACCCAUCUUAUCAGUCCAAGGACCAACAAGGGAGAUUAGGUUGAAGUUUGUCUUCUGCACUUAUUUCUGUCUUCAAAGUGGAUACACUCAACCAGGAUACACUCAAGGCCAUUUGUUGACCUAGUUUUUAAUUCGUACGUUAGUGCUCUGGGACCUCUCUAACCUCAGCAUUGCCUGGAGAAGUGAGACGACCAAGAAGGAUUACUUGGAACACUCACUGUGGAUGAAGCUGGGGCCAUGGAAUGAGUCUGACUAUUCUGCAGUGUUCAUGUUGAAGACCUUCACUUGAUAGCCCAUCUAAUCUCGC
rnacentral:lncRNA from 1 species